GAUGAACGCUGGCGGCGUGCUUAACACAUGCAAGUCGAACGGAAAGGCUCCUGCUUGCAGGGGUACUCGAGUGGCGAACGGGUGAGUAACGCGUGGGUGAUCUGCCCUGCACUUCGGGAUAAGCCUGGGAAACUGGGUCUAAUACCGGAUAGGACCACAUUUUGGAUGGUGUGGUGGAAAGUUUUUCGGUGUGGGAUGAGCUCGCGGCCUAUCAGCUUGUUGGUGGGGUAAUGGCCUACCAAGGCGUCGACGGGUAGCCGGCCUGAGAGGGUGUACGGCCACAUUGGGACUGAGAUACGGCCCAGACUCCUACGGGAGGCAGCAGUGGGGAAUAUUGCACAAUGGGCGCAAGCCUGAUGCAGCGACGCCGCGUGGGGGAUGACGGCCUUCGGGUUGUAAACACCUUUCGCUAGGGACGAAGCGUUUUUGUGACGGUACCUGGAGAAGAAGCACCGGCUAACUACGUG
rnacentral:rRNA from 1 species